CUAACUUAAAUAACCAGAAACUAUUGAAAAUAACCGAAUAAUUGUAUGUUUAUAGAUUAUAUCAAUAGAGACACAUAUGUGUUAUAUUAUUGGAGACAAAAGAUAACCGACUACUAACUUAAAUAACCAUCAACUACUUGAGAUAACCGGAUAACUGGUAUACAUUAUAAGUUUGGUAUACAAUGUAGCCAAAUAAAUACAUUGCAUUUGUAAUUAUGAUACUUCAUGUGUUUGUUUGCGUAACCGGCUAACUAUAACAAAAAACGAUGAAUAGAAUCUAUUAGCCGGUUAUUUCACAAAUUACAUCAUUAAAGAAAAGUGGAAUUUUUUUCAAUAACUAUGGUAACAACUAAGAAGAAGAACACGACUCGAGUACUUUACCCUUAACUAACUCUGUCUUCUGAACUGACCCACCGGAGAUGGUACUUGGCGACGGUAAUGCAGAUGGAUGGUGAUGGUUAGAAAGUAAGCAUUUGUUGGAGUAUGAAGUGAAAAAGAGCUUUGUUUUACCAUAAACCUAAGAAACUGAUGGAGAGCAAUGGAAGAGACGACAGGUUCUAAGUUCAUGAUCCCAAGCGAUCCUUGAUUGUUCCUUUUGGGAACAGCUCUUGCAUGUGGAAACAAAAAUGACUCACCCGCUUCUUCCAAAGACGAGUUCACACACACGCUGCCGUACCACGAAUGUGAACACUUUGAAGAGAGACAAAAGUUUUUGGAUUGAAUUGAAUUUCUUUUACAAAAGAAACUGAGAAUUAUUGAACAUGCAAAGAAGA
rnacentral:lncRNA from 1 species